ACGGGUCUAACAGCAGACCUGGAUGCGACCAAGACGGAUCUACUUAACUACAAAGAUGCAUCCAAAGUGGCCUUCUCUGCAGCUCUGACUGUAGGACUGGGACCCUUUAAUGUUGAAACUACACUGAUCUACCCAAAAGUCAUCACAAACAUCGGCGCGGGUUACAACGUCUUAACAGGUAUCUUCACAGCCCCCGUCAGUGGCGUCUACUUCUUCAGGUUUAAUACCAUGGAUGGCCGGAUAAGCGUUCACAGCGGUGCAGCAUUGUACAAGAACAACCAACGAGUAAUUCUGAACUAUUCCUGGAAUCACUGGGAAGACCAUGAGCGUAUUUCUAAUGGAAUAGUCCUGGAGCUAGUCCAGAGCGAUACAGUGGACAUGCGUCUUCCUGCAGGGUACAGUGUCCUAGAUUAUGGUGAACACAGUUUCAACAUUUUCAGCGGUUUCCUUCUUUUUCCCAUGUGAGAACAACAUGGCAGGAGUGUGUUAGAGGCUGAACAACACCUCCACUUUGCUCAAUAAAUACACCAAGUGUCACAUGUUU